rnacentral:rRNA from 1 species
UACGUAGGUGGCAAGCGUUGUCCGGAAUUACUGGGUGUAAAGGGCGUGUAGGCGGGGAGACAAGUCAGAUGUGAAAUACCGUGGCUUAACUGCGGGGGUGCAUCUGAAACUGUUUCUCUUGAGUGUCGGAGAGGAAAGUGGAAUUCCCAGUGUAGCGGUGAAAUGCGUAGAGAUUGGGAGGAACACCAGUGGCGAAGGCGGCUUUCUGGACGAUAACUGACGCUGAGGCGCGAAAGCGUGGGUAGCAAACAGGAUUAGAUACCCCUGUAGUCCCU